rnacentral:rRNA from 1 species
AUUAGAGUUUGAUCCUGGCUCAGGACGAACGCUGGCGGGAGUCUAACACAUGCAAGUCGAGCGGGAUAUACCGGUUUAGUUUACUAAGCUGGUAAAUUCAGCGGCGGACGGGUGAGUAACGCGUGAGCAAUCUGCCUUGUACAGGGGGAUAACAGCCGGAAACGGCUGCUAAUACCGCAUAAGGCCACAGUACCGCAUGGUACAGGGGUCAAAGGAGAGAUCCGGUAUAAGAUGAGCUCGCGUUCCAUUAGCUGGUUGGUGAGGUAACGGCCCACCAAGGCAACGAUGGGUAGCCGGCCUGAGAGGGUGAACGGCCACAUUGGGACUGAGACACGGCCCAAACUCCUACGGGAGGCAGCAGUGGGGGAUAUUGCGCAAUGGGGGGAACCCUGACGCAGCAACGCCGCGUGAGUGAAGGAGGCCUUCGGGUCGUAAAACUCUGUGACAGGGGAAGAAGAAAGUGACGGUACCCUGAGAGGAAGCCCCGGCUAACUACGUGCCAGCAGCCGCGGUAACACGUAGGGGGCAAGCGUUGUCCGGAAUUACUGGGCGUAAAGGGUGCGUAGGCGGCCGAGCAAGUCCGAUGUGAAAGACCACGGCUAAACUGUGGGGGUGCAUAGGAAACUGUCCGGCUUGAGUGCAGGAGAGGAAAGUGGAAUUCCUAGUGUAGCGGUGAAAUGCGUAGAGAUUAGGAAGAACACCAGUGGCGAAGGC